GCUGUCCUGGACCUGCCAGCACCACAGGCACAGCCUUUCUGCUGUGCUGGUGACAUCAGGGCAAAGAGCAAGCGGCUAUUUCUACGCUCAGUGUUCAGAAGCCAAUGAGCACUAAGAAUGGUGUAUAGCCUGACAUUC
ensembl:snoRNA